CCUACGGGAGGCAGCAGUGGGGAAUAUUGGGCAAUGGGCGCAAGCCUGACCCAGCAACGCCGCGUGAAGGAAGAAGGCUUUCGGGUUGUAAACUUCUUUUAAGGGGGACGAACAAAUGACGGUACCCCUUGAAUAAGCCACGGCUAACUACGUGCCAGCAGCCGCGGUAAUACGUAGGUGGCAAGCGUUAUCCGGAUUUAUUGGGUGUAAAUGGCGUGUAGGCGGGAGCGUAAGUCAGAUGUGAAAACUCAGGGCUCAACCCUGAGCCUGCAUUUGAAACUGUGUGUCUUGAGGUCUGGAGAGGCAAGUGGAAUGCCGGGGGUAGCGGUGAAAUGCGUAGAGAUACGGAGGAACACCAGUGGCGAAGGCGGAUUGCUGGACAGUAACUGACGCUGAGGCGCGAAAGCGUGGGGAGCAAACAGGAUUAGAUACCCCUGUAGUC
rnacentral:rRNA from 1 species